rnacentral:rRNA from 1 species
UGGGGAAUAUUGCACAAUGGGCGCAAGCCUGAUGCAGCAACGCCGCGUGAACGAUGAAGGUCUUCGGAUCGUAAAGUUCUGUUGCAGGGGAAGAUAAUGACGGUACCCUGUGAGGAAGCCCCGGCUAACUACGUGCCAGCAGCCGCGGUAAUACGUAGGGGGCUAGCGUUAUCCGGAUUUACUGGGCGGAAAGGGUGCGUAGGUGGUCUUUCAAGACGGUGGUUAAAGGCUACGGCUCAACCGUAGUUAGCCUCCGAAACUGGAAGACUUGAGUGCAGGAGAGGAAAGUGGAAUUCCCAGUGGAGCGGUGAAAUGCGUAGAUAUUGGGAGGAGCACCAGUAGCGAAGGCGGCUUUCUGGACUGCAACUGACACUGAGGCACGAAAGCGUGGGUAGCAAACAGG